rnacentral:rRNA from 1 species
UCAAGGUGUAUAUCGCCAUUGCUGCGGUUAAAAAGCUCGUAGUUGGAUCUGCGCCUUCGGACUCGGUCCGCCCAACGGGUGUGAACUGGGAUCCAAGGCUUAUACUGCUGGUUUUCCCUUGAUGCUCUUUACUGGGUGUCUUGGGUGGCUAGCGAGUUUACUUUGAAAAAAUUAGAGUGCUUAACACAGGCUAACGCCUGAAUACUUGUGCAUGGAAUAAUAGAAUAAGACCACGGUUCUAUUUUAUUGGUUUUCGGAACUGUGAUAAUGGUUAAGAGGGACAGACGGGGGCAUUCGUAUCGCUGCGUGAGAGGUGAAAUUCUUGGGCCGCAGCGAGACGCCCUACUGCGAAAGCAUUUGCCAAGAAUGUCUUCGUUA